rnacentral:rRNA from 1 species
UACGUAGGGGCAAGCGUUGUCCGGAAUCAUUGGGCGUAAAGCGCGUGUAGGCGGCUCGAUAAGUCUGCUGUGAAAGUCCAGGGCUCAACCCUGGGAUGCCGGUGGAUACUGUCGAGCUCGAGUCCGGAAGAGGCGAGUGGAAUUCCUGGUGUAGCGGUGAAAUGCGCAGAUAUCAGGAGGAACACCAAUGGCGAAGGCAGCUCGCUGGGACGGUACUGACGCUGAGACGCGAAAGCGUGGGGAGCAAACAGG